rnacentral:rRNA from 1 species
GACGAACGCUGGCGGCGUGCUUAACACAUGCAAGUCGAACGGAAAGGCCCUGCUUUUGUGGGGUGCUCGAGUGGCGAACGGGUGAGUAACACGUGAGUAACCUGCCCUUGACCUUGGGAUAACUUCAGGAAACUGGGGCUAAUACCGGAUAGGAGCUCCUGCUGCAUGGUGGGGGUUGGAAAGUUUCGGCGGUUGGGGAUGGACUCGCGGCUUAUCAGCUUGUUGGUGGGGUAGUGGCUUACCAAGGCUUUGACGGAUAGCCGGCCUGAGAGGGUGACCGGCCACAUUGGGACUAAGAUACGGCCCAGACUGCUACGGGAGGCAGCAGUGGGGAAUAUUGCACAGUGAGCGGAAGCCUGAUGCAGCAGCGCCGCGUGCGGGAUGACGGCCUUCGGGUUGUAAACCGCUUUCGCCUGUGACGAAGCGUGAGUGACGGUAAUGGGUAAAGAAGCACCGGCUAACUACGUG